UAGAAGAAUGCAAUAUACGAAGACAAAUCGAAAAAACCGAAUACAAAACUAAGAAUCUGAAGAUCUUGGCAGGCUCAGAAGGAUCCAUUGGUUUCUAUCA
rnacentral:snoRNA from 1 species